GGGGGUGACAGGCUUCGACUUCGGAUUUUUGCGGUAAGGGAAGCGAGCCGUGGUUCCCGGAACCACGUUAAAGAGCCGGGGAUAAAAUAAACGCGAACCAUACGUACGCACUCGCCGCUUAAGGCGAUGUCUUACUGACCUAGGUUUCAGGGGUCAGCACCGGGCAUAAUUUACUGAAGCUCACCUUAGGUCUUGGGUCACUCGGAGACCGAGGGAAACUUAGAGUGACGAGGUCAGGCUGUCCCGCCAGGGGGUCACGCCCGAUCACUUAAGCCUGGAUGCGCUCGGAGAAGACUUACCUACAGACCGAAGGACGCGGGUUCGAUUCCCGCCACCUCCACCG
rnacentral:tmRNA from 1 species